rnacentral:rRNA from 1 species
AACGAACGCUGGCGGCAUGCCUAACACAUGCAAGUCGAACGAGACCUUCGGGUCUAGUGGCGCACGGGUGCGUAACGCGUGGGAAUCUACCCUGGGGUUCGGAAUAACAGUUAGAAAUGACUGCUAACACCGGAUGAUGACGUAAGUCCAAAGAUUUAUCGCCCAAGGAUGAGCCCGGGUAAGAUUAGCUUGUUGGUGGGUUAAUGGCCUACCAAGGCGACGAUGUUUAGCUGGUCUGAGAGGAUGAUCAGCCACACUGGGACUGAGACACGGCCCAGCCUCCUACGGGAGGCAGCAGUGGGGAAUAUUGGACAAUGGGCGAAAGCCUGAUCCAGCAAUGCCGCGUGAGUGAUGAAGGCCUUAGGGUUGUAAAGCUCUUUUACCAGGGAUGAUAAUGACAGUACCUGGAGAAUAAGCUCCGGCUAACUCCGUGCCAGCAGCCGCCGUAA